UACGUAGGGCGCAAGCGUUGUCCGGAAUUAUUGGGCGUAAAGAGCUCGUAGGCGGUCUGUUACGUCGGCUGUGAAAACCUGGGGCUCAACCCCGGGCCUGCAGCCGAUACGGGCAGACUAGAGUUCGGCAGGGGAGACUGGAAUUCCUGGUGUAGCGGUGAAAUGCGCAGAUAUCAGGAGGAACACCGGUGGCGAAGGCGGGUCUCUGGGCCGAAACUGACGCUGAGGAGCGAAAGCGUGGGGAGCGAACAGG
rnacentral:rRNA from 1 species